UACGUGGAAGACUAGUGUUAUUCAUCUUUAUUAGGUUUAAAGGGUACCUAGACGGUUAAUUUAGCUUAUAUUAAAAGUACGUAUUAACUAGAGUUUAUAGGAGGGGAUAGAACUUAUGAUGUAGAGAUAAAAUUUGAUAAUAUCAUAGGGACAGGUAACGGCGAAAGCAUUCUUCUAUCUAAAACUGACGUUGAGGGACGAAGGCCUGGGUAGCCAUAAGG
rnacentral:rRNA from 1 species